rnacentral:misc_RNA from 1 species
UCCGGUUUGUCACCGGCAGUCUCCUUAGAGUGCCCACCAUAACGUGCUGGCAACUAAGGUCAAGGGUUGCGCUCGUUGCGGGACUUAACCCAACAUCUCACGACACGAGCUGACGACAACCAUGCACCACCUGUCUAGGGAUCCCGAAGGAGGGACCUGGUUUCUCAGGUCUUUCCCCUAGAUGUCAAGCCCAGGUAAGGUUCUUCGCGUUGCGUCGAAUUAAACCACAUGCUCCGCUGCUUGUGCGGGCCCCCGUCAAUUCCUUUGAGUUUUAGCCUUGCGGCCGUACUCCCCAGGCGGGGCACUUAAUGCGUUAGCUCCGGCACGGGAGGAGUCGACACCUCCCACACCUAGUGCCCAUCGUUUACGGCGUGGACUAC